rnacentral:lncRNA from 1 species
AACAACAUCUUAUACACCACAUAUCAAAGAAGCUCAGACUUACAUCAGCUAAGAAGAUUGGGAAUAUCACUACAACAACCCUUCCAAGAGAAGAAAGGGUUAACAAUACAGAGGAAAUCUGGUUUCAGAACAAUGGGGAACUAAUAUAGAAUAGUGGUUAAGAGUAUGGGUUCUGGAGCCAGACAAAUAAGAGUUUUAAUCCUGUCUGCCACUUGCUAGCUGGGUAAUCCUGUAUCACCUGCCUUCUCUAAUUCUCAUUUUUAGCAACCAUAAAAUAAGGAAUAUAAUGUCUCCCUCGUAGCAUAUAGAUGAAAUGAACUAAUAAGGGAAAGCAUCUGCACAGUGCCUGCCACCAAAUUUUUCAAUAAAUGGUAGCAGUUAAUAUCAAAUUGAAGUUAUUCUGUAUUUCCAGAUACAUAAAAAUACAGAGAUUUUAAGUUGUAAUGGCAUUUUUUUUU